rnacentral:rRNA from 1 species
ACGCUCGACACCUACGGAGGCAGCAGUGGGGGAUAUUGCACAAUGGGGGAAACCCUGAUGCAGCAACGCCGCGUGAAGGAAGAAGGUCUUCGGAUUGUAAACUUCUGUCCUCAGGGAAGAUAAUGACGGUACCUGAGGAGGAAGCUCCGGCUAACUACGUGCCGGCAGCCGCGGUAAUCUGAGCGGGCUGGCAAGGC